rnacentral:rRNA from 1 species
CCUACGGGGGGCAGCAGUAGGGAAUAUUGGACAAUGGGCGAAAGCCUGAUCCAGCCAUGCCGCGUGAUAGAUGAAGGCCCUCUGGGUUGUAAAUAUCUUUUAUCUGGGAAGAAACAAUCUUAUUCUUAAGAUCUUGACGGUACCAGAUGAAUAAGCACCGGCUAACUCCGUGCCAGCAGCCGCGGUAAUACGGAGGGUGCCGGCGUUACUGGGUUUCACUGGUGUUAAGGCGUGCUGAGGAGUCAGUGGUGAAAGCUCCGAGCUUAACUUGGAAACUGCCAUUGAUACUGCCAGUCUUGAAUGUCGUAGAGGUAAGCGGAAUGUUGCAUGUAGCGGUGAAAUGCUUAGAUAUGUUACAGAACACCAAUUGCGAAGGCAGCUUACUAUGCGAUGAUUGACGCUGAGGCACGAAAGCGUGGGGAGCAAACAGGAUUAGAUACCCUAGUAGUC